CCAUCUAGUGGUGACAUCGCGGUACUGUCAAGCGCUGUGAUUUAACUGUUCAGGACGAGGCUAUAGGCUACUCUUAAAAGAUAUUACAUGCUGAAAAACAGGUCAACAACUACGUUGAAUGCUGCGAGGAGAGAAAUAUGGGCCUACAUGUGCAUCUCGCUGACAGUGUUUGAAGUAGGGGUUUGUUCUUCUGUGGUAGAGGUACGAAAACUGUGGCUCUGGGGUUGUUGGAACGAGUUGGAACAACAGAGCCAAAGGCGGCGACACAGAGAAAAGAAACCGCUGGUUCAAGUCCCCGUACGGACCAAAGUACGGAAUGUGGACUUGCAGCUUGAGAGGUGCCAGUUCACCUCCUGGGCACUGCCAAGGUGCUCUUGAGCAAGGCACUGAACCCCCAACUGCUCAGGGUGUUCCUCCAAGGAGCAGCCCCCUCACUUUAGACAUCUCUCCAUUAGUGUGUUUAGCAUGUAUAGGUUUGUAAUGUGUAGUUGUAAUUAAGGCCUGUGUUCAAUGUGUGUGCAACUGUACUAACAGAGGGAAAAUUGUGAAUUUCCCCUCCGGGGAUAAAUAAAGGCAUUCUUUUUCUUCUUCUUCUU